rnacentral:misc_RNA from 1 species
AACGCACAUUGCGCCCUGUGGUAUUCCGCAGGGCAUGCCUGUUCGAGCGUCAUUUCAACCCUCAAGCUCUGCUUGGUGUUGGGCCCCGCCCGCUCGCGGCCGGCCCUAAAGACAGUGGCGGCAGCGCCUGGCUCCAAGCGUAGUACAGCUCUCGCUCUGGGGCUAGGCGGUAGCCUGCCAGAACCCCCCUUCUAUGGUUGACCUCGGAUCAGGUAGGGAUACCCGCUGAACUUAA